rnacentral:rRNA from 1 species
UUGUAGUCUUGAUGGAUGAGGAGUCGGACCUGCCCGGUGAAAUUUUUUAACGGCCGCGGUACUCUGACCGUGCAAAGGUAGCAUAAUCAUUUGCCUUAUAAUUGAAGGCUGGUAUGAAUGGUUUGACGAGAAUAUAACUGUCUCUUUACAAUUUGAUAGAAUUUUAUAUUUAGGUGAAAAAGCCUUAAUUUAAUUAAAAGACAAGAAGACCCUAUCGAGCUUAAGAGAAAUUAGCAGAUGUAUAGAUUUUUGGUUAAAAAAUAUAACUGUUAAACAUUUUUGGUUGGGGCGACUGAGGAACAUAAGAAGCUUCCUUUUAUAACCUUUUAUAUACGAAUUAUUGAUCCACAGUUAGUGAUUAAAGGAAUUAGUUACCGUAGGGAUAACAGCAUAAUCUUUUUUGAGAGUUCUUAUCGAAAAAAGGGUUUGUGACCUCGAUGUUGGACCAGAAUAUCCUAAAGAUGUAGAAGUCUUUAAGGGUUGGUCUGUUCGACCAUUAAAAUUCUA